rnacentral:rRNA from 1 species
GACGGAGGAGGCAAGCGUUGUCCGGAAUUACUGGGCGUAAAGCGCUCGUAGGCGGUCGUCUACGGCGGUGGUGAAAGCUCCCGGCUCAACUGGGAGAGGCCCGCCGCAACGGGGCGACUCGAGGGUGGUAGAGGCAGAUGGAAUUCCUGGUGUAGCGGUGAAAUGCGUAGAGAUCAGGAGGAACACCCGUGGCGAAGGCGGUCUGCUGGGCCAUACCUGACGCUGAGGAGCGAAAGCUAGGGGAGCGAACGGG